rnacentral:rRNA from 1 species
GACGAACGCUGGCGGCGUGCCUAAUACAUGCAAGUCGAGCGAAGCGGCGGAUGGGUGAGUAACGCGUGGGUAACCUGCCCUUAAGUCUGGGAUACCAUCUGGAAACAGAUGCUAAUACCGGAUACUAAAGGAUGGACCUGCGAUGCAUUAGCUAGUGGGUAAGGUAACGGCUUACCAAGGCGAUGAUGCAUAGCCGAGGUGGGAGACUGAUCAGGCACAUUGGGACUGUGACACGGCCCAAACUCCUACGGUAGGCAGCAGUAGGGAAUCUUCCACAAUUGACGAAAGUCUGAUGGAGCAACACCGCGUGAGUGAAGAAGGGUUUCGGAUCGUAAAGCUCUGUUGUUGGUGAAGCGGUAAUUAACCAGACAGUCCCGGCUAACUACGUGACAGCAGCCGCGGUAAUUC